AUGCUGCAGGUGUGGCCCGAAAAAGAAAAAAAAAAAAAUUACCUAAUAAAACUAAUGUUUAUCACUGUGGAUCCACUGCUGGCAAAAAGAGACACGGCAGAAUCCUGCAGCUCCACAAGCUGAAUCUCUAGGCUACGGGGUGAGUUUCGGGGACACGCAGCUGAAAAACCUCUCUUUGGGCAUCUCGGUGUCAUCAAAGACAUUAUCGAAGCAUUUGACAAUACUGACCAUCCCACGGAGCCUGGGACUCCGAGGCGUGUCCCUGGGCUGUGGCCACAUUGGUGCCGUGGGGCUGGGCCAGCUCCCUUCAGUUCGCAGUCACUGGCUCCUCGUCUCUCCUGAUCUCUAGGAAGACAUUUGAAAAGGCUCUUCCCUGUCUUUCUGCCCCAGAAGAAAGAAGCUGCUUGAUCGCUUUGGCUCCAGCUGCUCCUGGCAGGGAGCUAGACCACCAAUGAUCUCUUAAAUGCUAGCAAAGGGCAUGCUUUGGGACGUGGGGUUUUGAAAUUCCUAAAAAUAUUACAGAAUUAGGCAGCCUAUGAAUUGCAAGUUUAGAAAUGAAGCCCCCCACAACCCCAGCCAAAAAAAAAUUUUUUUUUCAAGUACAGAGAUCAGAUAGCUGAGGUUGAUGUCUGAGAAACGCUCAAAGAUUCUGAGUUUACCUCAAAUACGACUCCCUGCAAGCUCUGCAUCCCUGUGCCCCACAGAGGCGAGGACUCGGUGUUUGUGGACAGCAGAAUGUUGAUACUGGGAACUCCGGCUGUGGCUCAGUGGUAACGAACCUGACUAGUAUCCAUGAGGAUGCAGGUUUGAUCCCUGGCCCUGCUCAGUCGGUUAAGGAUCCGGCGUUGCGGAUAGAUGUCCAUUUUUACCACAUCUGGGACCACCAGGGAUUGCCCAGGAAGACAUGUCGUGACCAUCUAGCCAUAACAGCAUGGCUGUGCCUGUAGACAACACCAAUCCAGAGGAUGUCUGGCUGGGAGGGACGUUGUGGAGCAUCCCUGCCGCGAUCUGGACCCUGACCUUCGAUGCGGUCCUGCCAAAGAAAAUAGCGCAUAUUUCCUGCAGUCCCACUGCUGCCGGCUCACAGUGAAGGAGCAUUCAGAGAGUUGAUCAGAAAUCCUGGUCUCCACUUCCCAGUCUCUCAAUAUGUGUACCUAGUUAUCACACGUGGUACCUAGUUACCUCUGCUCAAUAACAGAAAAUGGAAAGGUGACAGGAACCCCUGAAAGGAAAAUAAAGGACCCGAAGAUAAGAAAAAGUGGAGAGGAAAGUGGUAACAACUCUUUCGCAAGCUAAGGAUCAAUAACGAAGUGACCCAUCUUGAAACACUAUUCUCCAUACUGAUGCAAACUAAACUGAGUUGUGUGUAUAGUUAAGAAAAAGAAAAGAUGUCCCAUUCCACUGAAGCACAAGGUUAGUUCCAGAGACAACAGGACCCAGUGGAAACAGUGACCUCACAGGAAGACCCACCUCCCGAAAGGCAGCAUUGAGAUCCAGCUCCCCGAGUGAGUGGAUGCACAUUUCCAGGGUCCAACCUAUAGGCUUCCCUUCAUGCCCAGCCCUGCCACGGGCGCCAGGC